GCCGUACUAGAGAAAUGGUUAACUCGUCGGCCUUCUACUUGCACAAGUCAAUAGCCGAAGAUUCUCGGUUCGAGUCCGGGGUACGGUA